rnacentral:rRNA from 1 species
GACGAACGCUGGCGGCGUGCUUAACACAUGCAAGUCGAACGGUAAGGCCCUUCGGGGUACACGAGUGGCGAACGGGUGAGUAACACGUGGGUGAUCUGCCCUGCACUUCGGGAUAAGCCUGGGAAACUGGGUCUAAUACCGGAUAGGACCACUGCCUGCAUGGGUGGUGGUGGAAAGCUUUUGCGGUGUGGGAUGGGCCCGCGGCCUAUCAGCUUGUUGGUGGGGUGAUGGCCUACCAAGGCGACGACGGGGAGCCGGCCUGAGAGGGUGACCGGCCACACUGGGACUGGGCUACGGCCCAGACUCCUACGGGAGGCAGCAGUGGGGAAUAUUGCACAAUGGGCGCAAGCCUGAUGCAGCGACGCCGCGUGAGGGAUGACGGCCUUCGGGUUGUAAACCUCUUUCAGCACCGACGAAGCGCAAGUGACGGUAGGUGCAGAAGAAGGGCCGGCCAACUACGUGCCAGCCGCCGCGGUAA